UACGGAGGGUGCAAACGUUGCUCGGAAUCAUUGGGCGUAAAGCGCACGUAGGCGGCCUGAUAAGUCGGGUGUGAAAGCCCUGGGCUCAACCCAGGAAGUGCAUUCGAAACUGCAGAGCUGGAGUCCUGGAGAGGAAGGCGGAAUUCUCGGUGUAGAGGUGAAAUUCGUAGAUAUCGAGAGGAACACCGGUGGCGAAGGCGGCCUUCUGGACAGUGACUGACGCUGAGACGCGAAAGCGUGGGGAGCAAACAGG
rnacentral:rRNA from 1 species